UACGUAGGUGGCGAGCGUUGUCCGGAUUGACUGGGCGUAAAGCGCACGCAGGCGGUCGCGCGCGUGGGGUGUGAAAUCUGGCCGCUUAACGGCCAGGCGCCAUCCCAUACGGCGCGACUGGAGUGAUGCAGAGGUCGAUGGAAUUGCCGGUGUAGUGGUGAAAUGCGUAGAGAUCGGCAGGAACACCCAGGGGGAAACCAGUCGACUGGGCAUCUACUGACGCUGAGGUGCGAGAGCGUGGGGAGCGAACAGG
rnacentral:rRNA from 1 species